AGACGAUGACGUGGACGGUGAUUGGCCUCCUAGAUAACUCCAGGCCCAACUCCUGAACUUAGAGACGAGGGGACUCUCCACAGUCGACUCUGGUCGUCAUCGCUGGAAUUCCACAAACGAAAUUCAAUUCAUAAAUCAGCCAUGGCCUCCGGCUCCUCGUCAUUUUCAGCAGGGGACUGGCUUAUCUGUUGCUCAGAGGCUACAAGAAAAAUCAUGAAGAGCUGCCACCUGGGUCUGUCCUCUUGAAAACAUUUCUGUGGUUUGGCACAUUUGGCAGCGCCCUCCUCCAAUGACCCUUUUUCUCUUGAACCUGGCCUCUUCAGCACCUCCCGGCCUCUCUCUACCAUCCGUCCUCGCUGACGCUCGUCGACACGGUGGAGCUGGCGGUACCUUAGAAGCUAUAUGGACCCAACCAACUCUAUCUGGGAGGAGGGGGGAAAUCCCUCAGAUGGUACAACUCAUCUGCUGCGCGGUCAGGCAGAGGCUGCGCUGUGAACUUUGAAGUGAACUAACGGGACAAUUGUCAGUUGUAUUUUUCGACCGGCCCCAAAGUGAAGUGAAGCGGCCCACCGGGAAUCCGCCCGAAUCUCCCGAUCACCCAAUCCGCCCCUGCUCAGCAGCUCUCUCUCUCUUUCUCCCUCUGUCACUCUGCCCCACAGGUACACAAGCGAAUAACAGAGCGAGGGGGAGUAGGGGGAGGGGGAUUUGUUUAUUCAAAGUUCGGUGAAUGCUCGACUCAGUACACGGAACCCUGAACGGCUGAACCGGAUAAUCAGCUGUUGCCGUGAUUGUCAUGAACACGCUGUUGUUGUGAUUGGCAGCGUGUCUUACGUUGCUGCUCCUCAGCACUGAUUUGAUCAGCUGUUUAUUAAAAUCAACACUCAAAGUAAUGUGUCCAAACUCAA